GCGGACGGGUGAGUAAUGCUUGGGAAUCUGGCUUAUGGAGGGGGAUAACUACUGGAAACGGUAGCUAAUACCGCGUAAUAUCGUAAGAUUAAAGGGUGGGACUUUCGGGCCACCUGCCAUAAGAUGAGCCCAAGUGGGAUUAGGUAGUUGGUGGGGUAAAGGCCUACCAAGCCUGCGAUCUCUAGCUGGUCUGAGAGGAUGGCCAGCCACACUGGAACUGAGACACGGUCCAGACUCCUACGGGAGGCAGCAGUGGGGAAUAUUGCACAAUGGGGGGAACCCUGAUGCAGCCAUGCCGCGUGAA
rnacentral:rRNA from 1 species